rnacentral:piRNA from 1 species
UGGUCUCCUGCAGAACUGUUGGCCCCUA